ACAAAAAUAAAUUAGUUAAUUAUGACAGGGAUGGAUCUAGCCAAUUUAAAAAAAAGGGGGGGAGGAUGGUGGUUCUUAGGAGGAUAAAAAGGGAGGUUCAUCCAUGUGUCCCUAUUCAAAAGCAUUAAUCAGCAAAAAAAAGGAAAGGUUCUAACCAACUGGUCCCUAGUCCAAAUAUAUAUGACGUCUUGAAAGGCUAUUUUAUUUUUUUUGCUUUGACAUGCUUGACGCCUUAUUGCGACGCAGGCGCCAUAGGCAUAGCCAUAAAAUAAAAUGGCCUUUCAAGACGUCAUAAUUAUGUUGACCACCGGUCCCUCCCUGGAUGGAUCCACCACUGUAUUAUGAAAAGAUUAAUUUUUAAAACUGCCACAUAUGCAUGACAUAGUGGCGAGGUAUAUAAUUAUGUGAUACAAUGAACAUAUAUACAUGUAUAUGGAAAAAGGCAUUUAUUUCUAAUACAUGUAGAUAUGUGAUAUAUGCAACAUGCACAACCACCAUCUAAUUGCGAGCUGUAAAUUACCAGAAAUGAGUCAUUAAAUAUAAAAAAAAACAACCUGCACUAAAUGUACAUGUAUAUAUGGUCUAGAUACAAAAAAUUGUAAAUUAUAAAUAUCUAUUGAAGCAAGGACAUAUCGGCGGUAUUACAUGUACAUGUAAAAACCAACCUAUAAUAUAUUCCUUAGUUGGAAAGGGCACACAUAAAUGUAGUGAGGUUAAACUUGUUUUGUUUUUGUCACUAAAAUCUCAAUUCACCUUUUAUUUGUCUGAAAUGAAAGCACAAAAUCUAGGUUUUUAUAGGGUGUGAGUUUCUCACUUGAAGUUGUAUUACGUUUUACAUGUGGUCCUGAUAUUCAUUCUGCUUACUGACUUUAAUAAUGUCUCCAUCAUGUCCAUGUAUUCAAAUGAGGCAUGCCUUUUUGUAAAUAAAUUAGUUUCAACCUUUAAUUUGAUAAAACAGAUUUUUCUAUUAUAAUUUAUCCGCUGGCAUCAUGCCGUAGAACAACAGGUUUAUAAAUUGAUUGAUUGUUCACGCUGAAACAUUGCUCAUCUGGACAUUGACAUGAUCGUGUUUUAUUGAUGUUUUUAGUGUGUAUGGUACCAUUGACUGGCUGCAUUAUUCCAUUUUUUCACAAAGGCAUACAUUGUAGGUCUCUGCAAGCAGUGUUUUACCAAGAUUAGACAAACAGUAGCUGAUGGAGGAAUCAUAGUUGAUACAAAAAAGAUUAUGAUGGAGAUGAAAGCCAAAUUAAAGAUACUCAGGUUCUCAUAGGAGUAUAUUCACAGCAUCAACUAAUUUUUCAUAAUAUUUAGCAUCAGAUUGGGAAACAGAUAACAUUUCUGACCAAGAGAAACUCAACAGAGGCUUGCAUUUCCUUUGAAAUGGAAAGUAUCCACCAUUUAGGAACCAAUUGAAUCUGGCAUGGGAUGAUGUAUCAAAAAAAUCCAAUGGCUUUUUCUACAAAAUUAUCAUCAGAAAUUAUUGAUUUGAUUUUGAAUUUUGUUUUACCUGCACAAUACAAGUCGAUAAAGUGUUCUGAUCUGUAGUAGAAAAGAGGAAAACAGACGAAACACAAUCAAUAUUACAACAGGAUGUUUUGACUGAAGCUCUCAUUGAUGCAUACUUACUAACUUAGACCUGAAUAGUCAUCCAACCUGGCUUCAGAUCUUAUCACUGUUUGCAUGUUUUCAGACCGUUUUGCAUGUUUCUCUUUAUGGCAGACUCCGCUAAUAUUAUAUGACAGUAAAAUUAUAAGCAAACAGCCUGAAUAGUUAUAUAACCAUUUUAAUUAAAAUGUCUGCACGACAGUUGAACCAUUUAUCUGUAUAUUUGUUUUUAUUCAUGUAGGUAUAAAAUAAAUUUUAUUUCCAUUUGAAA